GAAUUUUAAACGUUACAGAUGUUCGAUGAAAACUCGAGUCUAAGGAUCAAGAAUUUUUCGAGAAACUCUUGCCAAGAUAAUUAUUUAAAAAUCCUGAUAAAAUUAUACGCUGUUGCAGGGCGCAGAAUAAAAUAUACUGCACUUGGUACACAAAAUACUUUAUUUUUAUGUUAUAAAUACAUAGUGACAAGGUGGCGUCCGAAUUCGCACUGAACAAUCGUUCACCGCAUGUUCGUAGACGGAAAAAAAACAAAUGAAUGACGACAGCUCAUAGGUGCCAUUUUGUUCCACAACCUUUCCACUUUGUAAGGGAUGUGUACAUAUUAUUUGUUUUCAACCACUUCAAUGUAUUCAGGCCUGCACCACCUACCAAAAAUCGACAUGGACUUUCCGGACAACCCAAUAGAUACGUCGGUAAUAUAUUGCAAUAUCUCUACAUACGCUAAAGCUCAAUGUAGUUUUGACAAAAUUCGUCGCAUUGUGCAGAAAGAAUGCAAUAUUGAAUUCUUGUAAGACACCGAUCGGCGGGGGAAAAAUUUCAAUUUGAAAUACAAAUACACCUAAAUGUA